rnacentral:rRNA from 1 species
AUUGAACGCUGGCGGCAGGCCUAACACAUGCAAGUCGAACGAGUGGCGGACGGGUGAGUACUGUCUGGGAAACUGCCUGAUGGAGGGGGAUAACUACUGGAAACGGUAGCUAAUACCGCAUACCAUCGGAUGUGCCCAGAUGGGAUUAGCUAGUUGGUGGGGUAACGGCUCACCAAGGAUACGAUCCCUAGCUGGUAUGAGCGGAUGAACAGCCACACUGGAACUGAGACACGGUCCAGCCUCCUACGGGAGGCAGCUGUGGGUAAUAUUGCACAAUGGGCGCAAGCCUGAUGCAGCCAUGCCGCGUGUAUGAAGAAGGCCUUCGGGUUGUAAAGUACUUUCAGCGGGGAGGCGUUACCCGCAGAAUAAGCACCUGCUAACUCCGUGCCAGCAGCCGCGGUAAUUC